CGGAGAGUUUGAUCCUGGCUCAGGACGAACGCUGGCGGCAUGCCUAAUACAUGCAAGUCGAACGAGCUUCCGUUGAAUGACGUGCUUGCACUGAUUUCAACAAUGAAGCGAGUGGCGAACUGGUGAGUAACACGUGGGGAAUCUGCCCAGAAGCAGGGGAUAACACUUGGAAACAGGUGCUAAUACCGUAUAACAACAAAAUCCGCAUGGAUUUUGUUUGAAAGGUGGCUUCGGCUAUCACUUCUGGAUGAUCCCGCGGCGUAUUAGCUAGAUGGUGAGGUAACGGCUCACCAUGGCAAUGAUACGUAGCCGACCUGAGAGGGUAAUCGGCCACAUUGGGACUGAGACACGGCCCAAACUCCUACGGGAGGCAGCAGUAGGGAAUCUUCCACAAUGGACGAAAGUCUGAUGGAGCAAUGCCGCGUGAGUGAAGAAGGGUUUCGGCUCGUAAAACUCUGUUGUUAAAGAAGAACACCUUUGAGAGUAACUGUUCAAGGGUUGACGGUAUUUAACCAGAAAGCCACGGCUAACUACGUGCCAGCAGCCGCGGUAAUACGUAGGUGGCAAGCGUUGUCCGGAUUUAUUGGGCGUAAAGCGAGCGCAGGCGGUUUUUUAAGUCUGAUGUGAAAGCCUUCGGCUCAACCGAAGAAGUGCAUCGGAAACUGGGAAACUUGAGCGCAGAAGAGGACAGUGGAACUUCAUGUGUAGCGGUGAAAUGCGUAGAUAUAUGGAAGAACACCAGUGGCGAAGGCGGCUGUCUGGUCUGUAACUGACGCUGAGGCUCGAAAGUAUGGGUAGCAAACAGGAUUAGAUACCCUGGUAGUCCAUACCGUAAACGAUGAAUGCUAAGUGUUGGA
rnacentral:rRNA from 1 species